UUCGCACCCCCCAAGCUGACCGACGAGGACUUCUCGCCAUUUGGCUCUGGAGGUGGCCUGUUCAGUGGGGGCAAGGGGCUCUUUGAUGAUGAGGAUGAGGAGAGUGACCUCUUCACGGAAGCCCCCCAGGAUUGGCAAGCUGGAGCCUCUGUUAAGGAGGAGUCUUCAUCAUCCAAACCUGGAAAGAAAAUCCCAGCAGGAGCUGUUUCUGUAUUUUUAGGAGACACGGAUGUGCUGCCUCCGUUCCAUCAAUGAAGGAGCCACAGAAGCCUGAGCAGCCCACUCCAAGGAAAAGCCCCUACCUUCCCCCUCCCACUGGCCUCUUUGAUGAUGAUGAUGGUGAUGAUGAUGACGACUUUUUCUCGACACCCCACAGCUAGCCUUCCAAAACAGGCAAAGUCCAAUCCACUGCUGAUAUCUUUGGUGACGAAGAAGGAGAUCUGUUCAAAGAAAAAGCCGUAGCAUUGCCAGAAGCCACUGUGAGUCAGACAGAUGAAAAUAAAGCAAGAGCAGAAAAAAAGGUUACCUUACCUUCCAGCAAAAAUCUCAAGCCCUCGUCAGAAACAAACACUCAAAAAGGCUUAUUUUAGGAUCAGGAGGACUCUGAGGAUUUGUUUUCUUCUCAAAGUGCGAGUAACUUAAAAGGUGCAUCUCUGCUGCCUGGCAAGCUCCCCACGUCGGUUUCCCUGUUUGAUGAUGAAGAUGAAGAGGAUAAUCUUUUUGGGCGUACAGCUGCUAAGAGGCAGACAUUGUGUCUACAAGCUCAGAGAGAAGAGAAAGCAAAAGCCUCCGAGCUCUCCAAAAAGAAAGCAUCUGCCCUGUUGUUCAGCAGUGAUGAGGAGGACCGGGCGCAGUGGCUCACGCCUGUCAUGCCAGCACUUUGGGAGGCCAAGAGGAACGGAUCACUUG
ensembl:lncRNA FAM21EP family with sequence similarity 21, member A pseudogene